UGAGGAACCGACAAAUGAAGAGCUGGUCCAGGCUGUAGUUGACAUCGAGGGCUAAAUAUAGGAAACAAAACGGAGACGCUGCACCUCUGGCGUACAGGCUCCUCCUCUCUCGCGCCACACGG